rnacentral:rRNA from 1 species
GAGUUUGAUCAUGGCUCAGGAUGAACGCUAGCGGGAGGCCUAACACAUGCAAGCCGAGCGGUAUUGUUUCUUCGGAAAUGAGAGAGCGGCGUACGGGUGCGGAACACGUGUGCAACCUGCCUUUAUCUGGGGGAUAGCCUUUCGAAAGGAAGAUUAAUACUCCAUAAUAUAUUGAACGGCAUCGUUUAAUAUUGAAAGCUCCGGCGGAUAGAGAUGGGCACGCGCAAGAUUAGCUAGUUGGUGAGGUAACGGCUCACCAAGGCAAUGAUCUUUAGGGGCCUGAGAGGGUGAUCCCCCACACUGGUACUGAGACACGGACCAGACUCCUACGGGAGGCAGCAGUGAGGAAUAUUGGUCAAUGGGUGCAAGCCUGAACCAGCCAUCCCGCGUGAAGGACGACUGCCCUAUGGGUUGUAAACUUCUUUUGUAUAGGGAUAAACCUUUCCACGUGUGGAAAGCUGAAGGUACUAUACGAAUAAGCACCGGCUAACUCCGUG